rnacentral:tRNA from 1 species
UCCCUGGUGGCUCAGAUGGUAAAACGUCUGCCUACAAUGCAGGAGACCCAGGUUCAAUCCCUGGGUUGGGAA